CCAGGAAGUCUGCACUCAUCUAUAUAUACAUUGCAUAAAACUGCUACAAUGCCAAUGUACCCCAUUUUUAUCAGGCCCUAUUCUAACAACUGUAUGCCUGCACUUAUGAGAUAAACUCACUUACUUGGGAAAUACUUAUUCCUCAGGCUCUUUGCAGUAAAUAGGACCCUGGAAUGAGAUACCUGUGAAAUGGAGGGGUGCAAAACUAAGGAU